CCUANGGGGGGCAGCAGUGGGGGAUAUUGCGCAAUGGGCGAAAGCCUGACGCAGCGACGCCGCGUGGGUGAUGAAGGCCUUCGGGUCGUAAAGCCCUGUCGAGGGGGACGAAACGGUGCCGACCCAAUACGUCGGUGCCUUGACGGUACCCCUAAAGGAAGCACCGGCUAACUCCGUGCCAGCAGCCGCGGUAAUACGGAGGGUGCGAGCGUUGUUCGGAAUCACUGGGCGUAAAGCGCGUGUAGGCGGUCCGCUAAGUCUGAUGUGAAAGCCCGGGGCUCACCCCCGGAAGGGCAUUGGAUACUGGUGGACUCGAGUCCCGGAGAGGAGGGUGGAAUUCCUGGUGUAGCGGUGAAAUGCGUAGAUAUCAGGAGGAACACCGGUGGCGAAGGCGGCCCUCUGGACGGUGACUGACGCUGAGACGCGAAAGCGUGGGGAGCAAACAGGAUUAGAUACCCGGNUANUC
rnacentral:rRNA from 1 species